rnacentral:rRNA from 1 species
GACGAACGCUGGCGGCGUGCCUAAUACAUGCAAGUCGAACGCAGUGGGUACGGGUGAUUAACACCUGGUUAACCUCCCAUCAGAGGGGAUAACACUUUGACACAGGUGCUAAACCGAUCCUGAUGGAUGGACCCGCGGUGCAUUGGCUAGUUGGUGAGGUAACGGCGCACCAAGGACACGAUGCAUAGCGGACCGGGGAGGGUGAUCGGCAAAACUGGGAAUGAGACACGGCCCAGACUCCUACGGGAGGCAGCAGUAGGGAAUCUUCGGCAAUGGACGAAAGUCUGACCGAGCAACGCCGCGUGAGUGAAGAAGGUUUUCGGAUCGUAAAACUCUGUUGUUAGAGAAGCGGUAUCUAACCAGAAAGCCACGGCUAACUACGUGCCAGCAGCCGCGGUAAUAC